rnacentral:rRNA from 1 species
AUUGAACGCUGGCGGCAGGCCUAACACAUGCAAGUCGAACGGAAGCACAGAGAGCUUGCUCUCGGGUGACGAGUGGCGGACGGGCGAGUAAUGUCUGGGAAACUGCCCGAUGGAGGGGGAUACCUCCGGGAAACGGUAGCUAAUACCGCAUAACGUCUUCGGACCAAAGGGGGGGACCUUCGGGCCUCACACCAUCGGAUGUGCCCAGAUGGGAUUAGCUAGUAGGUGGGGUAAUGGCUCACCUAGGCGACGAUCCCUAGCUGGUCUGAGAGGAUGACCAGCCACACUGGAACUGAGACACGGUCCAGACUCCUACGGGAGGCAGCAGUGGGGAAUAUUGCACAAUGGGCGCAAGCCUGAUGCAGCCAUGCCGCGUGUAUGAAGAAGGCCUUCGGGUUGUAAAGUACUUUCAGCGGGGAGGAAGGCGGUGAAGUUAAUAGCUUCAUCGAUUGACGUUACCCGCAGAAGAAGCACCGGCUAACUCCGUGCCAGCCGCCGCAGUAA